rnacentral:lncRNA from 1 species
GGAGCCUGAUGUGGGACCCUGAGAUCCUGAUCUGAGCUGAAAUCAAGAAGCAGAGGCUUUAAGGACUGAGCCACCCAGGCACCCUUAAAUAUUUAGGAUUUUUUGCUUAUAGUAUGUCAUCUUCAGAUAUUGGCAGUUUUACUUCUUCACCAAUUUGAAUAUCUUUUUUUUCUUCUUGUGUGGUGCUUUGUCUAGAUCUUUCAUGGAUAUCUGCAAUAAUAGGGAUGAGUGUCAGCAUCCUUGUUUUAUUCCUGAUCUUGGAGGACAUGCUUUCACCUUUUCUCUAUUGGGUAUGAUGUCAGCUUUGGUUUAUCAUAUAUGGCCUCAAUUUUUUUUUAAGAUUUUAUUUAUUUAUUUGAGAGACAGAGCAUGAGUAAAGGGUGGGGCGGAGGAACAAGCAGACUCCCCACUAAGCAAAGAGCCUGAUAUGGGGCUCAAUCUCAGGACCCUGAGAUCAUGACCUGAACCAAAGGCAGUCUCUUAACCAACUGAGCCACCCAGACACCCCUCAUAAAUGUCCUCUAUUAUGUUGAGAUAUGUUCCCUCUAUACUCAACUUUGUUGAGAAUUUUUAUCAUAAAUACACGUUGAAUUUUGUCAAAUGCUCUUUUUGCAUCUACUAAGAUGAUCAUAUGAUUUUUUUAUACUUCAUUUUGUUUAUGUAGUGAAUAACAUUGACUGAUUUUCCAAUAUUGACCCAUCCUUGCAUCCCUGGAAUAUAUUUCACUUGAUCAUGGGAAUGAUCCUUCCCAUGUAUUGUUGAAUUUUGUUUGCUAAUAUUUUAGUAUGUAUUGUUGAGGAUUUUGCAUUUUGUCCAUCAGAGAUAUUGGCCUGUAAUUUUCUUUUUCGUAGUGUCUUUGUCUGGUUUGGUAUCAUAGUAAUGCUGGUCUUGUAGAAUGAAUUUGGAAGCAUUUCUUCCUCUUUAAUUUUUUGGAAUAGUUUGAGAAGGAUAAGCAUUAACUCUUUUUUAAAUGUUCGAUGGAAUUCACCAAUGAAACAGUUUGAUCCUGGACUUUUGUUUGUUGGGAGCUUUUCGAUUACUGAUUCAAUUUCACCACUAGUAAUCAGUCUGUUCAGAUUGUGUAUUUCUUCCUGAUUUAGUCUUAGCAGAUUGUAUAUUUGUAGAAAUUUGUCUAUUUUUCUAAAUUGUCCAGUUUGUUCCAAAUAAUUUUUUGUAGUAGUUGCCUAUAAUCCCUUGUAUUUCCAUCAUGUUGGUUCUGCCUCCUCCUCUUUCGUGUCUAAUUAUAUUUACUUGGGUCCUUUAUAUUUUUCUCUUGAUGAGUUUAGUUAAAGAUUUAUCAAUUUUAGCUUUUCAAAGAACCAGUUCUGAUUAGUUCUUUUGAAUAUUUUCUGUUAAAAUUCUCACUGAGUUCAUCUACUUUUCUCCCAAGUUCGGUGAACAGCUUUAUGACCAUUACUUUGAACUCUAUAUCAGGUAGAUUGCUUACCUCUCUUUUGUCUAGUUCCUUUUCUGAGGUUUUUGUCUUGUUAUUUUGUUUGGAACAUAUUCCAUUCCUCUGUCUCCUCACUUUGUCUGAGUCUCUGUGUUUGUUUCUAUAUAUUAGGUAUGUCAGCUACAUCUCCUGGUUUUGAAAGUAGUGGUCUUACAUAGAAGGUACAGUUUCCCCCUGAUUACCAGAACCAGCCAGUCCAGUGGUGUCCCCCGUAUGGGUUACAUGUGCCCUACUAUUGUGACUGGGCCAUGACUGCUGCAGAUGUACUGGUGGGCAGGGCUGACUCUGAUGCUUGGCUAUGACUAGUGUGGGUGUGCUGUUGGGCCAGGUUGGCUUUCCUUCUGUGAGAGCAGGAAUUGCUUUGGAGGAGUGAUGUUCCCUGCUGAGGCUGUCUACUGGUUGCAGCAGAGCAAAAACUGCUUUUCAAGGGGUGAGCAGUGCUAGCAUGUUAGAUGUAGAGUAUCAGAACUGGUGUACAUCAGCAUGAGGUUAGCUAGGCUAAAAGAGGGCAAGAAAAAUGGCACCCAUCAGUCGUCCUGUUCCCAGAGAAAAUUCUGCAAAUCCCUGCCCCUCUGGCACAUACCUCAAAAUUAGUCAGUAAGUCUUCACUUUUGGCCCAGGCCCUUUUCACACUGCUGCCUCUGUGUUGGAUCUUGGAGGGAGCUAGAUUAUGUGCAAGAUCUUUAAGAGUAGAGUCUUGGUUUCCUCUAGCCCUCUGGCUCUCCUGGAGUUAAGCCCCACUCAUUUUCACAGCCAGUCAUGUUGGAAGCUCAUCUACCUGGUUUAGAUCCCCCAGGGCAGAGAUUGCCCAAUAUGAAGCUUGAACUCCCACUCCUCAGUGAUACCUCUAUGCCAGUGACAUCCUGUUUAUAAGUUGCCAUGCCAGGAAUUUGGUUCCUGAUUAGACAGCGUGUUUGCCCCUCCAAUGCUAUGGCUUUUUCUUUAUGUCGUCAGCUUGUGGAAGAGCUGUUCUUUUAGUCUUCAGGACUUUCUCGGAGAAAAUUUCUCUAUAUGUAGUUACAGCCUUGGUGUGUCCAUGGGAAGAGGUGAGCUCAGGAUUUUACUACUCUGCCAUCUCCCUUUUUUCUUGACAUUCCAUAAUUAUAAAGGGGACAUUUCCCCCAAGGAUACAUACCAAUCCUUAACUUUCAAUAUGCCUCACAAUAGAGCAUCAAAAUACAUAAUGGCUAGAACUGCACUGAAAGGUAGAUGAAUCCACAAUUACAGUUGGAAACUUCAACACUUUUAUCAGAAAUGGGUGGAUCUAGCAGGCAGAAACUCAGUAAGGAUAGAGUUGAACUUAAUACCAUCAUUCAACUGGGUAUAAUUGACAUCAAUAGACUAUUUCAUCCAACAAUUGCAGAAUACACAUUCUUCUCAAGAUCACGUGGACCAUGGGGCAGCUGGGUGGCUCAGUCAGUUAAAUGUCUGACUCAUGAUUGCAGCUCAGGUCAUGUUAUCAGGGAUGUGAAAUCAAGCCAUGCAUCAGGUUCUGUGCUGGGGAUGGAGCCUGCUUGGGGUUCUCUUUCUUCCUCUCCUCCUGCUCCUUCCCCUUUCUGAAAGAAAGAUCACAUGGACCAUUCACCCAGAUUGAUCACAUUGUUGGUCAUGAAAUAUACCUUAACAAAUUUAAAAGAAUAAAAAUUGUAUGUCUCCUCUCAGAUCACAGUA